CUACGGGAGGCAGCAGUGGGGAAUAUUGGACAAUGGGGGAAACCCUGAUCCAGCAAUGCCGCGUGGGUGAUGAAGGCCUUCGGGUUGUAAAGCCCUUUCGGCGGGGACGAUGAUGACGGUACCCGCAGAAGAAGCCCCGGCUAACUUCGUGCCAGCAGCCGCGGUAAUACGAAGGGGGCUAGCGUUGUUCGGAAUUACUGGGCGUAAAGGGCGCGCAGGCGGCUUGGAUAGUUGGGCGUGAAAGGCCCGGGCUUAACCCGGGAACUGCGCUCAAUACUGCCAGGCUUGAGUGUGGGAGAGGAUGGUGGAAUUCCUAGUGUAGAGGUGAAAUUCGUAGAUAUUAGGAAGAACACCGGCGGCGAAGGCGGCCAUCUGGACCACAACUGACGCUGAGGCGCGAAAGCGUGGGGAGCAAACAGGAUUAGAAACCCGUGUAGUCC
rnacentral:rRNA from 1 species